rnacentral:rRNA from 1 species
UACGUAGGGCGCAAGCGUUGUCCGGAAUUAUUGGGCGUAAAGAGCUCGUAGGCGGCUUGUCACGUCGAUUGUGAAAGCCCCGAGGCUUAACCUCGGGUCUGCAGUCGAUACGGGCUAGCUAGAGUGUGGUAGGGGAGAUCGGAAUUCCUGGUGUAGCGGUGAAAUGCGCAGAUAUCAGGAGGAACACCGGUGGCGAAGGCGGAUCUCUGGGCCAUUACUGACGCUGAGGAGCGAAAGCGUGGGGAGCGAACAGG